AAGGCUGAGGCCCCGCCCCCGUCAUGGCGCCCGAGGAGAACGCGGGGAGCGAACUCUUGCUGCAGAGUUUCAAGCGCCGCUUCCUGGCAGCGCGCGCCCUGCGCUCCUUCCGCUGGCAGGUGCACCCUGCGACAUCUGAAGAGCUUAGAAGCAAAGUUAAGAGACUCAUCAGAUUCUGAGCUGCUGCGGGAUAUUUUGCAGAAGUAGACUGUGAAGCAUCCUGUGUGUGUGAAGCACCCGCCGUCAGUCAAGUAUGCCCGGUGCUUUCUCUCAGAACUCAUCAAAAAGACGUGCUGUAUUGCCCAGAAGCCAUCGUGUCGCUGGUCGGGGUCCUGCGGAGGCUGGCUGCCUGCCGGGAGCACCAGCGGGCUCCUCAAUUCUACAUGGCCCUUACCGUCUGCAACCCAGAGAUGUGCCAGCUGUUCACCACCGAGCUAUGCUGGACUGGGAUCAGAUGGGAAGCGGAAGCUCAUCAUGACCAGAAACUGUUUCCCUACAGAGAGCACUUGGAGAUGGCAAAGCUGAACCUCACACUGUAGGACUCACACAUGACUCCAACGGGAUUGUGAGAAUUAAGUCACUCUCGUGGGAAGAAUUUUUAUAUGGGAAAGCGGAUAAAACUUUCAUUGGACUGGAAUGUUUGGAGAAUGUUAAAUUCCAAAUCAGGAACCACAAACUGCGCUCUAAUAAGACAUCGGCUAUCUAAGCAUGUGGGUUCCCCCUUUCUGCCAGCAGUUCUGGUUCUUAAGAAAAUCACCAUAAAUCAGACAUGAAAAUUCUGGCUCCAAAAA
rnacentral:lncRNA from 1 species